rnacentral:rRNA from 1 species
AGAGUUUGAUCCUGGCUCAGGAUGAACGCUAGGCGGCAGGCUUAACACAUGCAAGUCGAGGGGCAGCGUGUGGUAGCAAUACCGACGACGGCGACCGGCGCACGGGUGAGUAACGCGUAUGCAACCUUUCCCAGACAGGGGGAUAGCCCAGGGAAACUUGGAUUAAUACCCCGUAGGCCGAGGGAUGGCAUCGUCCUUCGGUUAAAGUUCCGGCGGUCUGGGGUGGGCAUGCGUGCCAUUAGGCAGUUGGUGGGGUAACGGCCCACCAAACCGACGAUGGCUACGGGGUCUAAAAGGAUGGUCCCGCACAUUGGAACUGAGACACGGUCCAAACUCCUACGGGAGGCAGCAGUGAGGAAUAUUGGUCAAUGGGGGGAACCCUGAACCAGCCAUGCCCGCGUGGAGGAAGACGGCCCUACGGGUUGUAAACUCCUUUAGCACGGGAAUAAUCCGCCCCACGUGUGGGACGUUGAAGGUACCGUGAGAAUAAGCAUCGGCUAACUCCGUGCCAGCAGCAGC